rnacentral:lncRNA from 1 species
CUCAGAGAAGUCCCAAAAUCCACUUGCAUAUUCUACAAAAGGUGUGUUUGGAAAAUGCGCCAUCAAAAGAUAUGCUCAGCUCUGUGAGUUAAACUCAAUCAUCGCAAAGAAUUUUCUGAGAAUGCUUCUGUCUUGUUUUUAGAUGAAGUUCUUUCCUUUACUACGAUAGGCCUCAAAGAGGUCCAAAUCUCCACUUGCAGAUUCUGCAGAAGGAGUGUUUCAAACCUGAACUAUCAGAGAAAGGUUCAACACUGUGAGUUGAAUGCAAGCAUCACGAAGAAGGUUCUGAGAAUGCUUCUGUUUACGUAGGUGAGUUUUCUCCCGUAUCCAAUGAAAUCCUCAGAGCGGUCCAAAUCUCCACUUGCAGAUUCUACAAAAAGUGUGUUUUGAAACUGCUCCAUCCAAAGGAAUGUUCAGCUCUGUGAAUUGAACUCAAUCGUCACAAAGUGUUUCUGGGAAUGCUCCUGUCUCCUUUUUAUGUGCAGUUAUAUCCUCUACUGCCAUAGGCCUCAAAGCGGUCCAAAUCUCCCCUUUCAGAUUCUACCAAAAGUGUGUUUCCAAACGGCUCCAUCAAAGGGAAUGUUCAACUCGGUGACUUGAAUGCAAUCAUCACAAACCAGUUUCUGAGAAUGCUUCCAUGUAGCUUUGAUGAGAAGAUAUUUCCUUUUCCACCCCAGGCCUCGAAGCCCUCCAAAUGUCCCCUUGCAGAUGCUAGAAAGAGAGGGUUUCAAAGCUGCUCUAUCAAAAGGAAAGUACAACUCUGUGAGUUGAAUGCAAACUUCACAAAGAAGUUCCUGAGCAUGCUUCCGUUUAGCUUUUACGGGAAGAUUAUCCCUUUUCCAUCGAAAUGUUCAAAGAGGUCCACAUAUCCGCUUGCAGAUUCCACACAAAGAGUGUUUCCAAACUGCUGCAUCCAAAGGAA